rnacentral:rRNA from 1 species
AUGAAGCUCAUGAUGACUUUGUGGCGGUGCUGGCAUGUUCGAAACGUGAUGACGCACGACAAGCGGCCGCCCCCGGUUGAGGUGUCCAAGAGGUUUCUGCUGAGCUACGUCGACUCCUUGAUAGGCACCCAGAACCAUCCCAGUGCAGACCCAGUGAAAUGCAAGCAAGUAGUUGAUGCUGUUGUGCCAUGCCGGCCAAUGUCACAUCAAACUUCCUCUGUUGAUGGUCCGCGGCCACGCUGGACGCCUCCACAGGCAGGCUGGACCAAGCUGAACGUGGACGGAUCCUACUGCGCGAGCUCCGGAACGGCCGGGGCCGGAAUGAUCUUACGGGACAGCUUUGGCGAGAUCAUAUUUUCAUCCUGUAGGGAGUUGAGGACGUGUGCCGAACCUUUGGAAGCUGAGCUACACGCAUGCAUGGAGGGCCUCAACCUUGCACUGCAGUGA